UACGGGGGGGGCAAGCGUUGUUCGGAAUUACUGGGCGUAAAGGGCGCGUAGGCGGUUGGAUAAGUCAGCUGUGAAAACCACGGGCUUAACUCGUGGCCUGCAGUUGAGACUGUCUGGCUUGAGUGUGGGAGAGGAGAGCGGAAUUCCAGGUGUAGCGGUGAAAUGCGUAGAUAUCUGGAAGAACACCGGUGGCGUAGGCGGCUCUCUGGGCCAAUACUGACGCUGAGGCGCGAAAACCAGGGGAGCAAACGGG
rnacentral:rRNA from 1 species